AGACAGGAGGUCAGUAUGGCUAAGACAUUUCACCCUGGUGCUCAUCAGAGUUGAUUUGGCUGAUCUGGGUGGACAAGGGGAUGUCCCUUUCCUCUUUCAUUACUUCCUAACUGUCCCUGCCAUUCCCUCUGUCAAAUAGGAUGAUCCUAGAUGAAUAAGAACACUCCAGUCAAAAGUGUGUCAGUAGCUUUCCCCCUGAUGAGCCUUCAAACAAGCUCUCAGACCUGAUACAUAGUAGGCUCUCAAUGAAUAUCUGCUAAAUUUUUGAAUGAACCGAUGGUCAGCACCAUUGUUCUCUGAUUUAGUUG
rnacentral:snRNA from 1 species